CACGGAUAACAUACCGAAAGGUAUGCUAAUACGGGAUAAUAUAUUUGAGAGGCAUCUCUUAAAUAUCAAAGGUGAGCCAGUACAGGAUGGACCCGCGUCUGAUUAGCUAGUUGGUAAGGUAACGGCUUACCAAGGCAACGAUCAGUAGCCGACCUGAGAGGGUGAUCGGCCACAUUGGAACUGAGACACGGUCCAAACUCCUACGGGAGGCAGCAGUGGGGAAUAUUGCACAAUGGGCGAAAGCCUGAUGCAGCAACGCCGCGUGAGUGAUGAAGGCCUUCGGGUCGUAAAACUCUGUCCUCAAGGAAGAUAAUGACGGUACUUGAGGAGGAAGCCCCGGCUAACUACGUGCCAGCAGCCGCGGUAAUACGUAGGGGGCUAGCGUUAUCCGGAUUUACUGGGCGUAAAGGGUGCGUAGGCGGUCUUUCAAGUCAGGAGUGAAAGGCUACGGCUCAACCGUAGUAAGCUCUUGAAACUGGGAGACUUGAGUGCAGGAGAGGAGAGUGGAAUUCCUAGUGUAGCGGUGAAAUGCGUAGAUAUUAGGAGGAACACCAGUUGCGAAGGCGGCUCUCUGGACUGUAACUGACGCUGAGGCACGAAGGCGUGGGGAGCAAACAGGAUUAGAUACCCUGGUAGUCCACGCUGUAAACGAUGAGUACUAGGUGUCGGGGGUUACCCCCUUCGGUGCCGCAGCUAACG
rnacentral:rRNA from 1 species